CACCCUGCGAGCCCCACACUGGCCUCCUUGGUGCGAGCGCGCCCGACCCUGGACUUUCGGGGGCUCCUUUCCCCUCCACCACCCCUCUGACAGACCUUCGGCGGCUCCCCGCCCCUGUCCCGCCACUCAGACGUGGCUACUUUGGGAGGGCUGGGGGGGCGGGAGGGGACGCGGUAUAAAGAGCCGGAGGCGGCGCGGCCCGGGACCUAGACGUGGCAUGUCCACUCUGCCGGCCUCCGCUCCAGCCACCUCGCUAAACUGCCACCUCAGAGGGGAGAAGCAGGGCUGGGGCUGCAGAGAGCGCCCCCUGGAGGAGAUGAAGGAGCCGCUGUGAUCAGGAUCGACCUUAACAGGGAGCUUCAUAGCUGCAACCUUUACCAUGCAUGAGACCGUAUUAGCAUCAUGACAAACCUCAGGCCAGAAAUCGUGGCCUCUGGACGUUUACAUUUUAACUAGCCUUCCCUACAAAUGAGCCAGGGGAUACAUCACAAUCUCAUCCACAAGUGUUCCCUUUUUACUCGUUCUUUUUUUAGAUCACGGCAUUUAAGAAUUGAAACUGCUAGAUCCUCUGAUCAGCCCCAUUAGUUUUUUUCUUAAAAUGGCCAAAUAUUAGUAAAACUAUAUGCAGUUUUAUGCCUCA